GAUGAAGAACGUAGCGAAAUGCGAUAAGUAAUGUGAAUUGCAGAAUUUAGUGAAUCAUCGAAUCUUUGAACGCACAUUGCGCCCGCUAGUAUUCUGGCGGGCAUGCCUGUUCGAGCGUCAUUUCAACCAUCAAGCCCCAGGCUUGUGUUGGGGACCUGCGGCUGCCGCAGGCCCUGAAAACCAGUGGCGGGCUCGCUGUCACACCGGGCGUAGUAGAUUUUAUCUCGCUCAGGGCGUGCUGCGGGUUCCGGCCGUUAAAAAGCCUUUUUUACCCAAGGUUGACCUCGGAUCAGGUAGGAAGACCCGCUGAACUUAAGCAUAUCAAUAAGCGGAGGA
rnacentral:misc_RNA from 1 species